GAGGGUAUAUCUCAGUGGUAGAGUGCUUGCCUUCUAUGUGAGAGGCCUUGGGUUUGAUCCCCAGGACCAUAA
rnacentral:tRNA from 1 species